AUCCAGCUGACAAGUUCCAGAUAGGACGAAAACGCAUGUCCUAGAU
rnacentral:hammerhead_ribozyme from 1 species